UGCAAUUGAGAUUGUCCUAUGGAUCUGUUGGAGCAGUAUGCAUAUUGGAGUCUGGGAUGAUGGAGUCAAUAUGUGCCAUAUCCAGCCUUUCAAAGCACUUCAUGAUUACAUAUUUGAGUGCUACAGGGAGGUUUUUGGGAACAGGAAUGGUGCUGGUCAGUUUAACACGUGGAGAUUACAGACUGGAACAAGGAAAGUUUGAAAAUAACCAUGAAUAUCCCUGCCAGCUGUUCUGCGUGUGCUCCGAGAACGCGCUCUGGAAUACCGUCUGUCCUUGCGAGUGUUGACCUGAUUAAAGUCCUUACUGUUGUUGGCCUUGCAGAGUGAGAUGACCCAGUCCUCUAGGUCUGUGGGGGCCCUCACGCGCAUCGACCCAUUUUGAACCUAUUGUCGAUGAAACCCUCUUGGGCAAACACGUGGGGGCCGUGUGGGGUACACAAACAAAGAUUGCAUUCCUAAGGACAAAUGGAUUGAGAAAGUUAGGUCGACGCAAUGAAAAAUAUACUUCAUUGAACCAUCCUACAGCAUGGACUGUCAAUCAUAGUAUGCAUGUGUUCAGAUGAUUUUCCAGAGUUUCAUUGAUCUCCAUAUAUUUCUGUAAACACAAGUAUAUACUUACUAUAUCAGAAGUUCUAUAAGGAUACUUGGGAGAUCUGGAAAAAAAAGCAUGCAUGAACCAUAUUUUAUAGUUUGCUUUGUAGAUUCGAGCCAAUGUCUGAAGUGUAGGGUUCGAACAGAUUCAGGGAACAGAACCAAAAACAUGAAAAUAAAGAAAUUAUUUGAGGAACAGCACCCAAACCGAAAAACAAAAGUGAUCUAUACUGUUCCAGAACAGAACCUCUAUUUUAAAAGCAUGGGAACCAGUUAAUGACGUUAAUUUACAUUCAGGGCAUUUUUUUCUGUCCCACAAAAAUUGGCAAAAAAAAGCACCUAUGCAAAAGCCCUCACUCUGUCAAAAACAAUGUUAUAUCAAAGUACUGCCUUUGAUUUGACAGCCUACACAUGCGCAGUUUACCGUUAGACCCGAUAACGUGUUUUUACGCAUGAGUUUAGAUCGGGGAUUUCAAUUUAUGCUUAUCGUCAUACUGUUCUGUCUUUGGCUGUAUUCUUUCUAGUCAAAACCCUUCGCCGGGGACCGUAUCCCAUAACAUUGCGACACAAAAAUCUCUGUAUUAACGAGUUCACACUUGGAAUAACCUUGUGAAGUCCAAGCUAAGUUAGCUUACUUGCUAACCAACAUCUGACUUGAUAGCUAGCUAGCAGGCGAUCUUUAAGGGACAGCUGGCAACUGAUGUGUUCAUUUCACUCCAUGGCAUCGGCUUGGCAGGACAUAACAGUCAUAUCCUACUGGUUUGGAGCUCGUGUUGCACCAUUGCAUAUGAAGACAAUUUUUUAAAUUAUCAAUUAAAAAUACAUCGGUGACAACUUGAUCAAGCCUAUGAAUAUGCAAAACUGUUUACAGAACCAUUGCACACGAAUAAAGGUAGUUGUGGUUCUCACAACUUGAACCAGCACUCGAAUCUGAGCAGUGAGUUUAGUCAGGAGUUUUUUCAGCAGUGCGCAACAUCCCUAUGUUAGAUAGAGAAUAAAGUGUGGAUCUACUUCUGUCAUACAGAAUUGUCAGCUCAUUCUAAAAUAAAGAUGUGGGCGAUUUGUGUCCCAGGGUGUGUGUGCAAGUUUUUAUUCCUGCCCAGCACAAACACCUUGUUCAACUAUCCAUGGUCUACAACUGAGACAACAAUGUUGGAGGUUCAUCUCCUUCAUUUGUCCCCCACUUGGGGAUGACUUAUUCUGUACAAUGGACUGUGUUCUAAGGAUUCAUGCACAGAUACAGGAAAACCAAUAAGUGGUAAUAUUUAUUUAAAUAAUGACAAGUGUUGAUGUCUCGCCAUUCUCCAAAGUUCUGGUUUUGAAGCUUGGUCAUCAGGGGGCUGUAGUUCAUCUUUCUAAUACUCUUCAAGGAGAGAAAGGCAAUAAUAGUACAAUAGUGUAUUCAUUUAAUGUAAUACAUUGUUUUAUAUGCAUGCAAAUAAUUAAAUUGGACAUGUUAUCCUUUACAAUAUGCCAGUGAUUGUUUUGUAUCCAAUGCAUUUAGCUUACAUUAGGAUGAAGUAGCCUAGGCCUUCUAAUCGCGUUAUAUUGCAUCAUAUCGGCUAGCAAUAUUGGUUAACAAUGCAUGAGUUGAAUAUAAACCAAGCUAUCUUGACCAUCAGAGUAAUUUAAUAAUAUGAAUGGGUGUUAUAAUAGUAUGAUUGUAUGCAAUGCAAGCCUGAUCAUUAGAAAUUAAACACCAGCAGUCCUAAUGCAUGCAAUAUUAGCUUUACAGUAAAACAUGACAAGUCUGGCUAUUUAUCAUUCUUCAACAGUAAGCAAAAUAGCUUAUCUAUUUGUUAAAUGUUUAGCUUCAGCCUCUGUAACAUGCAUGCAACUGCAAGCAAUACCUGUCAUACGUUCACAACAAUGUAGCAGGAGGCCAACCAAUAUGCAA